GACGAACGCUGGCGGCGUGCCUAAUACAUGCAAGUCGAGCGGACCAAUAGAAGCUUGCUUCUGUUGGUUAGCGGCGGACGGGUGAGUAACACGUGGGCAACCUGCCUGUAAGACUGGGAUAACUUCGGGAAACCGGAGCUAAUACCGGAUAAUUCAUCCCCUCGCAUGAGGGGAUGCUGAAAGUCGGUUUACGCUGACACUUACAGAUGGGCCCGCGGCGCAUUAGCUAGUUGGUGAGGUAAUGGCUCACCAAGGCGACGAUGCGUAGCCGACCUGAGAGGGUGAUCGGCCACACUGGGACUGAGACACGGCCCAGACUCCUACGGGAGGCAGCAGUAGGGAAUCUUCCACAAUGGACGAAAGUCUGAUGGAGCAACGCCGCGUGAGCGAUGAAGGCCUUCGGGUCGUAAAGCUCUGUUGUUAGGGAAGAACAAGUAUCGGAGUAACUGCCGGUACCUUGACGGUACCUAACCAGAAAGCCACGGCUAACUACGUGCCAGCCGCCGCGGUAACAC
rnacentral:rRNA from 1 species